GACGAACGCUGGCGGCGUGCUUAACACAUGCAAGUCGACGGUAAGGCUCCAGCUUGCUGGGGUACACGAGUGGCGAACGGGUGAGUAACACGUGGGUGACCUGCCCUGCACUUCGGGAUAAGCCUGGGAAACUGGGUCUAAUACCGGAUAGGACCGCACCGUGAGGGUGUGGUGGAAAGUUUUUUCGGUGUGGGAUGGGCCCGCGGCCUAUCAGCUUGUUGGUGGGGUAAUGGCCUACCAAGGCGGCGACGGGUAGCCGGCCUGAGAGGGUGGACGGCCACAUUGGGACUGAGACACGGCCCAGACUCCUACGGGAGGCAGCAGUGGGGAAUAUUGCACAAUGGGCGGAAGCCUGAUGCAGCGACGCCGCGUGGGGGAUGACGGCCUUCGGGUUGUAAACUCCUUUCACCAUCGACGAAGGGUUUCUGACGGUAGAUGGAGAAGAAGCACCGGCUAACUACGUG
rnacentral:rRNA from 1 species